rnacentral:rRNA from 1 species
CCUACGGGGUGCAGCAGUGAGGAAUAUUGGUCAAUGGACGAGAGUCUGAACCAGUCAAGUAGCGUGAAGGAUGACUGCCCUAUGGGUUGUAAACUUCUUUUAUAUGGGAAUAAAACGUUCCACGUGUGGGAUUUUGUAUGUACCAUAUGAAUAAGGAUCGGCUAACUCCGUGCCAGCAGCCGCGGUAAUACGGAGGAUCCGAGCGUUAUCCGGAUUUAUUGGGUUUAAAGGGAGCGUAGGUGGAUUGUUAAGUCAGUUGUGAAAGUUUGCGGCUCAACCGUAAAAUUGCAGUUGAAACUGGCAGUCUUGAGUACAGUAGAGGUGGGCGGAAUUCGUGGUGUAGCGGUGAAAUGCUUAGAUAUCACGAAGAACUCCGAUUGCGAAGGCAGUUCACUGGACUGCAACUGACACUGAGGCUCGAAAGUGUGGGUAUCAAACAGGAUUAGAUACCCCGGUAGUC